UACGAAGGGGGCUAGCGUUGCUCGGAAUCACUGGGCGUAAAGGGUGCGUAGGCGGGUCUUUAAGUCAGGGGUGAAAUCCUGGAGCUCAACUCCAGAACUGCCUUUGAUACUGAAGAUCUUGAGUUCGGGAGAGGUGAGUGGAACUGCGAGUGUAGAGGUGAAAUUCGUAGAUAUUCGCAAGAACACCAGUGGCGAAGGCGGCUCGCUGGAACGGUACUGACGCUGAGGCGCGAAAGCGUGGGGAGCGAACAGG
rnacentral:rRNA from 1 species